rnacentral:rRNA from 1 species
AGAGUUUGAUCAUGGCUCAGGACGAACGCUGGCGGCGCGCUUAACACAUGCAAGUCGUACGGGGUCACCCUUUCGGGGGUGGUUCAGUGGCGAACGGGUGCGUAACACGUGGGCGACCUGCCGGGGCGCGGGGGACAACCGAGGGAAACUUCGGCUAAUACCGCAUGCGCUCUGGUGGCUACAUGGCUACCAGAGGAAACCCGCUUUCAAGCGGGGUGCUCCGAGGGGCCCGCGGCGUAUCAGGUAGUUGGUGAGGUAACGGCUCACCAAGCCGACGACGCGUAGCUGGUCUGAGAGGACGACCGGCCACAUUGGGACUGAGAUACGGCCCAGACUCCUACGGGAGGCAGCAGUGGGGAAUCUUGCGCAAUGGGCGAAAGCCUGACGCAGCAACGCCGCGUGGGGGAUGAAGGCUUUCGGGUUGUAAACCCCUUUCAGCAGGGACGAUUAUGACGGUACCUGCAGAAGAAGGACCGGCCAACUACGUGCCAGCAGCCGCGGUAAUACGUAGGGUCCAAGCGUUGUCCGGAUUUAUUGGGCGUAAAGAGCUCGUAGGUGGUUCGCUAAGUCGGAUGUGAAAACUCGGGGCUCAACCCCGAGACGCCAUCCGAUACUGGCGUGACUUGAGUCUGGUAGGGGAGAUCGGAAUUCCUGGUGUAGCGGUGAAAUGCGCAGAUAUCAGGAGGAACACCGAUGGCGAAGGCAGAUCUCUGGGCCAGUACUGACACUGAGGAGCGAAAGCGUGGGUAGCAAACAGGAUUAGAUACCCCGGUAGUCC